rnacentral:rRNA from 1 species
UGGGGAAUAUUGCACAAUGGGCGCAAGCCUGAUGCAGCCAUGCCGCGUGUAUGAAGAAGGCCUUCGGGUUGUAAAGUACUUUCAGCGGGGAGGAAGGGAGUAAAGUUAAUACCUUUGCUCAUUGACGUUACCCGCAGAAGAAGCACCGGCUAACUCCGUGCCAGCAGCCGCGGUAAUACGGAGGGUGCAAGCGUUAAUCGGAAUUACUGGGCGUAAAGCGCACGCAGGCGGUUUGUUAAGUCAGAUGUGAAAUCCCCGGGCUCAACCUGGGAACUGCAUCUGAUACUGGCAAGCUUGAGUCUCGUAGAGGGGGGUAGAAUUCCAGGUGUAGCGGUGAAAUGCGUAGAGAUCUGGAGGAAUACCGGUGGCGAAGGCGGCCCCCUGGACAAAGACUGACGCUCAGGUGCGAAAGCGUGGGGAGCAAACA